UGGGGAAUAUUGGACAAUGGGCGCAAGCCUGAUCCAGCAAUGCCGCGUGAGUGAUGAAGGCCUUAGGGUUGUAAAGCUCUUUCGCACGCGACGAUGAUGACGGUAGCGUGAGAAGAAGCCCCGGCUAACUUCGUGCCAGCAGCCGCGGUAAUACGAAGGGGGCUAGCGUUGUUCGGAAUUACUGGACGUAAAGGGCGCGUAGGCGGCCUGUUUAGUCAGAAGUGAAAGCCCCGGGCUCAACCUGGGAAUAGCUUUUGAUACUGGCAGGCUUGAGUUCCGGAGAGGAUGGUGGAAUUCCCAGUGUAGAGGUGAAAUUCGUAGAUAUUGGGAAGAACACCGGUGGCGAAGGCGGCCAUCUGGACGGACACUGACGCUGAGGCGCGAAAGCGUGGGGAAAAGCAAACAGGUUAGAUACCCUGGUAGUCCACGCCGUAAACGAUGAAUGCUAGACGUCGGGGUGCAUGCACUUCGGUGUCGCCGCUAACGCAUUAAGCAUUCCGCCUGGGGAGUACGGCCGCAAGGUUAAAACUUAAAUGAAUUGACGGGGUCAUAGCUGUUUCCU
rnacentral:rRNA from 1 species